AGCGAACGUUUGCGGCGGGCUUAACAUAUGCAAGUCGUACGGGCUGUUCCUUCGGGGGCAGUCAGUGGCGCACGGGUGCGUAACACGUAGGUAAUCAACCCUCUGGUUGGGGAUAACACUUCGAAAGGAGUGCUAAUACCCGGUAUGGCGCAGCGGUCUUCGGAUCGCGGCGAGAAAGACCCGCAAGGGUUGCCAGAGGACGAGCCUGCGGCCCAUCAGCUAGUUGGCGAGGUAACGGCUCACCAAGGCGAAGACGGGUAGCUGGUCUGAGAGGAUGAUCAGCCACACUGGAACUGAGACACGGUCCAGACUCCUACGGGAGGCAGCAGUGGGGAAUAUUGCGCAAUGGGCGAAAGCCUGACGCAGCCACGCCGCGUGAGCGAUGAAGGCCU
rnacentral:rRNA from 1 species